AUAAUUAAUAACGUGUCACUUGUCAAUGCCCCAUACGAAAUCCAAUCCACGAUUAUUUUGUACCACUGAAAAGAACAACCUUUUAUAAACUAAUAAUAUAUAAAUUGGUCCUUUUUUUUUUUAUAAAAUAUAUCAACUAUAACGCUUAUUAUUCAUCUUUCUUAUGGGCCAGUGUAUGUAUAUGUAAUCUCUGCUUUAUCCCAAAGCAUGCAUUGCCAUUGACAAGCAAUAAAAUAUCUUGUGAGAGAAGAACGGAUCAUGGACCAGCCUCACGCUCUUGUAGUCGCUAGCCCUGGCUUGGGCCACCUUAUCCCUGCCCUCGAACUCGGCAACCGUCUCUCCUCCGUCCUCAAUAUCAACGUCACCAUUCUUGCAAUCACCUCCGGCUCCUCUUCCCUGACAGAAACCGAGAUGAUACAUGCAGCCGCGGCUAGAGGGACCUGUGAAAUUAUGGAAUUACCUCGGUCGAUAUAGACGACCUCGUAGAGCCAGAUGCGACAGUGGUCACUAAGAUAGUGACGAUGAUGCGAGCCAUGACGCCCGCGGUUCGAGAUGCCGUGAAAUCAAUGAAGCAAAAACCGACGGUCAUGAUCGUUGACUUUUUUGGUACAGCGUUGUUGUCCAUAACCGAUGUAGGUGUGACGGCUAAGUAUGUGAACAUACCGUCGCACGCGUGGUUCUUGGCAUUAAUUGUCUACUUGCCGGUGUUGGAUAAGGUAGUGGAAGGUGAGUAUGUUGAUAUUAAGGAGCCUAUGAAAAUACCAGGUUGUAAACCGGUCGGACCAAAGGAGCUUUUGGACACAAUGUUAGACCGGUCGGACCAACAGUACCGUGAGUGUGUACAGAGUGGGUUGGAGAUACCUAUGAGCGAUGGCGUUUUGGUAAAUACUUGGGAGGAGUUACAAGGGAAGACUCUAGCUGCGCUAAGAGAGGACAUGGAUUUGAACCGAGUUAUGAAAGUACCGGUCUACCCUAUUGGGCCUAUUGUUAGGUCUAAUGUGCUUAUUGAAAAACGAAAUAGUAUUUUGGAGUGGCUAGACAAACAAGGGGAAAGAUCAGUUGUGUAUGUGUGUUUAGGGAGUGGUGGAACGUUGUCGUUGGAGCAAACGAUGGAACUCGCUUGGGGUUUAGAGUUAAGUGGCCAAAGUUUCCUAUGGGUUCUACGUAGGCCUGUUUCUUACCUUGGUGGGAGCUCAAAAGAUGAUGAUCAAGUGAGUGCUUGUCUACCAGAAGGUUUCUUGGACCGUACACGUGGUGUAGGUCUUGUGGUCACGGAAUGGGCACCACAAGUUGAGAUCUUGAGCCAUAGAUCAAUCGGUGGGUUUUUAUCUCAUUGUGGUUGGAGCUCAGUCUUGGAGAGUUUGACUAAAGGAGUUCCGAUCGUUGCUUGGCCUCUUUAUGCGGAGCAAUGGAUGAAUGCCACGAUGCUGACAGAGGAGAUUGGUGUGGCCAUUCGUACGUCAGAGUUACCGUCGAAGAAAGUGAUCGGCCGGGAAGAAGUGGCAUCUUUGGUGAAAAAGAUUGUAGUGGAAGAGGAUAAAGAAGGACGGAAGAUAAAGGCUAAAUCUGCGGAGGUGAGGGUUAGCUCCGAACGAGCUUGGACUCAUGGUGGGUCGUCUCAUAGUUCUCUCGUUGAAUGGGCAAAACGGUGUCGUCUUGUGUCUUAAUUUUAGAAUCAUAUAUCAUAUAUGUGAAAUGAGGUGAGCUACCUCGAUCAUGCAGCCACGUCAGCAAUUGAGGAAAGGAGACUUGUCCAUUGAAAUUUAAAGCUAAGAGCAUCUCCAAUGGUGAGAGCCCUUCCAAGAGCUCUCUUCUAUUGUUUAAUAUAAUUUGUGGAAAUUUGUAAGAUGAGAGCUUGUGUUUUAUUUUUAAAAAAAUCCAUUGUCCAAUGGUAGUAUCUCUCAAGUGGGGUUCUUACAAUAUGCUUGAUCAAACAAUAUGAUGAAUCAAAUCCAAAGCAUGAAAACU